rfam:TPA: Bos taurus chromosome 15, whole genome shotgun sequence.
UCCCUGGUGGCCAAGUGGUUAGGACUGUGAGCUUUCACUGCCAUGGCCCAGGUUCAAUUCCUGGUCAGGGAA